rnacentral:misc_RNA from 1 species
GAUGAAGAACGCAGCGAAAUGCGAUAAGUAAUGUGAAUUGCAGAAUUCAGUGAAUCAUCGAAUCUUUGAACGCACAUUGCGCCCCUUGGUAUUCCGAGGGGCAUGCCUGUUCGAGCGUCAUUACACCACUCAAGCACUGCUUGGUAUUGGGCUCUCGUCCGUCGAAAGACGGGCGUGCCUCGAAGACCUCGGCGGGGUUUCUCCAACUUCGGGCGUAGUAGAGUUAAAUCAAAACGUCUUAUAAGCUUGGUGAGAUCUCAUUGCCGUUAAACCUUUUUUUUUCAGGUUGACCUCGGAUCAGGUAGGGAUACCCGCUGAACUUAAGCAUAUCAAUAAGCGGAGGA